UAAAAGCUACCCCAUGGAAGUGUUAGAAUAGGUAGUAGUAAUAAUAGUAAUAGUAAUAAUAAUAAUAGAAAAGAGAAAGAAAUUAAAAACAAACAUAGAGUGAAAAUAAUAAAAAUGAAAACAACUAAAAAGAAAAGAUAAAAAUUAAAGGUCGUGGAUUGCCUUCCACGUAGCACUUUGUUUAAUGUUGGGAGUUCGACAUUAAUUGGAACGGUGCUAAUCUUUUGAAAAAGCG
rnacentral:lncRNA from 1 species